ACCUGAACCUGCUUGCCAGCUGAGAUAUUAACUGAGCCUUUUCGCUGGAUGUCCCCCCAUCAGACGUCAGAAUUUCUUUAGGGUCUCCCAGGAUAGAACUCGCAGGGAUGAGUCCUCUUCUUGGCCCCUGCAACAAUUUGGUGCUGUGACUUGGAUCCUGGGAACAUCGCCGGGGGACUGGCUGGAGGGUCCGGAACAGAGUAACGGCAGCACACCACUGAGAGAGCAGGCAGAACAGGUCCAGAGUGUUAACGGUACUGCUACGUCAAGAAAGAGACCAGUGAAGAGGGAGGAGGCCACAAGGAUUUACAAGACUGCUUUAGUCAGCACUUGGAUGGAUUAAACCAACAGCCUCUCGUGGCAGAGACUGCUUCCGUUUUUUGGCCUUUUCCUUGUCUGUGAUGACUAGCAUUUACAGAUACUGGCUGCAACGCACCGUGAACUUCACAUUAUCUUUGUUCUUCUUGAUCUUGACAGAUUUUGCAUCCUUCCUCCUAGCUGUCAGCAGAAAAUAUUUGAUCUCUUCAAUUUUGUGAGGCAUGGCGAUGGCUUCUGGCGACAACUGCCAGCUCCCCAAAACUAGCUAUGUCACAGAUGGCACCAGAUCUCAAACUGCCUCUUACCAGGAUACCUUUAUUUUUAUUCAUCUACAUGAUUGGACCAAUGAAAUAUGUAAUUUAU